GAGGGUACAGCUCAGUGGUAGAGUGCAUGCCUAGCAUGCAUGAAGUCCUGGGUUCAAUCCCCAGUACCUCCA
rnacentral:tRNA from 1 species